rnacentral:misc_RNA from 1 species
AAGUCGUAACAAGGUUUCUGUAGGUGAACCUGCAGAAGGAUCAUUAGUGAAGAUUUGGGCAGGCCAUACGGACGCCAAAAAGUGUCCCUGGCCGCCUACACCCACUAUACAUCCACAAACCCGUGUGCACUGUCUUGGAGAAAGGCUUCAGAGAAGUUUUUUGUGGCCUCUCUUGGGGUCUUUCUUCGCUACAAACUCGAAUGGUUAGUAUGAACGUGGAACUUGGUUGGACCGUCACUGGCCAACAAACUAUACACAACUUUCGACAACGGAUCUCUUGGUUCUCC